rnacentral:rRNA from 1 species
ACCCUUUGUGUACCCACCUCUGUUGCUUUGGCGGGCCGCGGUCCUCCGCGGCCGCCCUCCGUCCGGGGGGUGGCCAGCGCCCGCCAGAGGACCAUCGAACUCCGGUCAGUGAACGUUGCCGUCUGAAAAACAAUCAAUAAACUAAAACUUUCAACAACGGAUCUCUUGGUUCUGGCAUCGAUGAAGAACGCAGCGAAAUGCGAUAAGUAAUGUGAAUUGCAGAAUUCAGUGAAUCAUCGAAUCUUUGAACGCACAUUGCGCCCCUCGGUAUUCCGAGGGGCAUGCCUGUUCGAGCGUCAUUACAACCCUCAAGCUCUGCUUGGUGUUGGGCACCGCCCUUCCGCGGGCGCGCCUCAAAGACCUCGGCGGUGGCGUCUUGCCUCGAGCGUAGUAGAAAACACCUCGCUUUGGAGCGCACGGCGCCGCCCGCCGGACGAACCUUUUGAACUUUCUCAAGGUUGACCUCGGAUCAGGUAG